UACGGAGGAUCCAAGCGUUAUCCGGAUUUAUUGGGUUUAAAGGGUGCGUAGGUGGGCAGGUAAGUCAGUGGUGAAAUCUCUGGGCUUAACCCGGAAACUGCCGUUGAUACUAUCUGUCUUGAAUAUAGUGGAGGUGAGCGGAAUAUGUCAUGUAGCGGUGAAAUGCUUAGAUAUGACAUAGAACAUCGAUUGCGAAGGCAGCUCGCUACACUAUGAUUGACACUGAGGCACGAAAGCGUGGGGAUCAAACAGG
rnacentral:rRNA from 1 species